AUCUCUCUCUCUCUCUCUCUCUCUCUGUGAUACAUGCGUGAGCUCCGUUUUGUUCUCUCUCCAGCGCGCAUGCAAUCUCUCUCUCUCUUUUGCUCUUUGCUCUUCCUUUUCACAACAUGUAAAUCUAAUUAUUGCCUUUUCCCAAAGCUGCCGUUAUAUACAUGCAUAUAUAGCAGCUGGUCUGGUCUGGUCUGGUCUGGAUGAUCGUCUCCUCCUCCUCCUCCUCCUCAAUUCCUUUUUGCAAGCUGAGUCCGAGACUCGAGUCAUGCAUGACCCCAUCAUUUCCAUGCAUCAUUGCAUUUGGAUGCACCAAUCAUCUCAAAAGCGCAAUGCAAUCAACUGAAUAAAGCUUCAAAGAAUCUUCGAAAAGAGGACUCGGUUGACGGUUGCUGGAGGACGGCAUCAAGUCAUGGCAAAUGUCGGUCCAUGCCCUCAAAAGAAGGAGCACGGUGGUAUAUUGAUCAGAAGUGGUUGUUGUUGGAGGGGAUGAUUAAUUCAAGCGCUUGGGAUCACGAGUUUGGUUGAGGUCUGAGGAAGAGAACAUGAUUGGGGCAUCCCAUCCGGCACCAAAGGCAACAGACUGAUGAGUAGUGGAGAUCAAUGGAUCAAAAGUAGCAGCAGCUGCAGCAGCAGAAGGAGGCACAGUAGUAUGGUGCUGAAUUUGGGCAUGGUGUUGAUUUUCGAAGAAGUCCUCGUUGAUAAUUGAAUUCAAGAAAGAAGACAGCACAUCAUCGGUGCAAUAGUUAAUAGUAUCAUCUUCUUCAUCAUCAUCCUGUUGAUUGCUGCUGCAACUAGCGUUUCCAAUAUUCAAACCCAUUAUCAUCCCUGCAGAAACUUGAUAGUCAGAAUUGAUGAUCUGUAAAUUGGUCAGCCCCCCACCAGUAGUGCCAUCGUCGCCAGAAGUAGGAGCACUUCUCAUGGCAAGAAGAGGAACUCCUCCACUACCAUCUGUAGCCGGCUCUUCCAAGACCGCAGCAGUAGCAACAGCAGGAUUAUUGGGGUUAGGGUUUUCCAUGAUGACGCGAUUAUUGGGUUUGGAAGAAGAAGAGGGGUUCUCAUGAUGAUGAUUAAUACUAGUGGUAGUAGUAGUAGCAGCAGCAGCAUUGGUGAGUGGCUUGUGAGUUCUGGGAUCUAUCCCUUGGCUGAUAAGCUUCUUGCUGAGAUGAGUGUUCCAGUAGUUCUUUAUCUCGUUGUCUGUACGCCCUGGAAUUCUCCCAGCUAUUAGAGACCACCUACAUGUGAAUAAUUCACACAUGUUCAGAACCCCAAGUUUAAUUAGCUAGCUACAUCCAUAUCCAUCAAAAACAACCAGCUAUAUUUGUACACAAGCAUUUUAUGUACUUAUUUCUUUUCCUUGGUUUC